AAGCAUGCAAGUCAAACGGGAUGUAGCAAUACAUUCAGUGGCGAACGGGUGAGUAACGCGUGGAUGAUCUACCUAUGAGAUGGGGAUAACUAUUAGAAAUAGUAGCUAAUACCGAAUAAGGUCAAUUAAUUUGUUAAUUGAUGAAAGGAAGCCUUUAAAGCUUCGCUUGUAGAUGAGUCUGCGUCUUAUUAGCUAGUUGGUAGGGUAAAUGCCUACCAAGGCGAUGAUAAGUAACCGGCCUGAGAGGGUGAACGGUCACACUGGAACUGAGAUACGGUCCAGACUCCUACGGGAGGCAGCAGCUAAGAAUCUUCCGCAAUGGGCGAAAGCCUGACGGAGCGACACUGCGUGAAUGAAGAAGGUCGAAAGAUUGUAAAAUUCUUUUAUAAAUGAGGAAUAAGCUUUGCAGGAAAUGGUAAAGUGAUGACGUUAAUUUAUGAAUAAGCCCCGGCUAAUUACGUGCCAGCAGCCGCGGUAAUACGUAAGGGGCGAGCGUUGUUCGGGAUUAUUGGGCGUAAAGGGUGAGUAGGCGGAUAUAUAAGUCUAUGCGUAAAAUACCACAGCUCAACUGUGGAACUAUGUUGGAAACUGUAUGUCUAGAGUCUGAUAGAGGAAGUUAGAAUUCCUGGUGUAAGGGUGGAAUCUGUUGAUAUCAGGAAGAAUACCGGAGGCGAAGGCGAACUUCUGGGUCAAGACUGACGCUGAGUCACGAAAGCGUAGGGAGCAAACAGGAUUAGAUACCCUGGUAGUCUACGCUGUAAACGAUGCACACUUGGUGUUAACUAAAAGUUAGUACCGAAGCU
rnacentral:rRNA from 1 species